UACGGAGGGUGCAAGCGUUAUCCGGAUUCACUGGGUUUAAAGGGUGCGUAGGUGGGCAGGUAAGUCAGUGGUGAGAUCUCCGAGCUUAACUCGGAAACUGCCAUUGAUACUAUCUGUCUUGAAUUAUCUGGAGGUGAGCGGAAUAUGUCAUGUAGCGGUGAAAUGCUUAGAUAUGACAUAGAACACCAAUUGCGAAGGCAGCUCACUACGGAUAUAUUGACACUGAGGCACGGAAAGCGUGGGGAUCAAACCAGGAU
rnacentral:rRNA from 1 species